UAUUCUUUUGGGGGAAGCUUUCCACCUGACAAUCUGUCCCCCGCCUGCCUCUUUAUAGCCAGUAUCUCUCUGCAGACCCCUCCAAGGCUGGGCACUAAAUUAAGUCUAUUAGCCUUGGUUUUAUCUGUGCCAAGCUGCAGGGGCCACCAAGUGCUCUGUGCAAAGGGACAAGGGAUGAAUGCAGUUUCUCCCAAAGUGUCCACCUGUGUGAACCCUGCAUCUUUGUUGCAAAGGUGGAUUCAUUCCAACUCCACAGCAGGAACUCGUUGGAACCCAUAGGGCAGGAUCCCAGGGACAAACUGAGGUAUCAACCAGCCACAGGCAAAAUAAUGGGGGAAACCAGGAAGAAGAGGUUCCCUGAAGGUGAGGGGCAGGGACAAGCCAGAAUCCAGGGGCUCCUUUCGCUGAAGUUCACAAAUGCCAAGAGCCGUCCUGUGAGCUGUACCUGGAGGGACCAGGCUGGGGUGGAGGAGCGCCCAUGGCAGCACACACCACUGUUCCAGUUGGCAGGAAGCCCUUCCCUGAAGACUGCAAGUUUAACCUUUAGCAUUCAAGUGUCGAGGCUUAAGUGUCGUUAUGAGCAAUUCUUCCUGCUGCAGCGUUCCCAGGCUGUGGAAAGAGGGGUCGGCGCAAAUCUGCCCGCUUUCCUUUUUCUUCCCAGACAGAAUGAGAGGGAGGGAGACGUGCAGCACCAAACACGCAAACACAGGCACCCCUCUAGUCGGCCCUUCGCUAACUCUACACACGCACUCCCGCCUCCUUGGCCGGUCCGGUUUCUGGUCUGCCUUGGAGGUGAGCAGGGCCCCGGGGGUUCUCCACUCCCAGCUCUUGCACCUGGGGCUGAGGGGUACAGAGGCGCCUUCCCUCUCCAGGCCUUGGCUGGAAGGGGCUCCAGGGGACAUCGGGGUCCAGCGUCCUCCUACAGUCGGCUUCAGGGUCCCCACCUCGGUGCCCACACCUCGGUGUCCCGCGGGGCAGGGGGGUGUGGGCGCAUCUGUGGCCCUAAAGAGACUGGGCAGCCCGGCGAGAACGACGGAAAGAGAAGUGAACCACCAGCAGCCCCGGGUGCGGAGUUAGGGUGACCGGGAGGCAGGCAUGGGGCCUGGGCAGCGAGGGCGCUGGGCGUGAGGUACGCCCCCGCCGCGCCCUCUCCUUCCCAGGCCACUGAUGGGGCGGGCCCCCGGUAGUGGUGGCUUUUCUGGGCAUCCGCAGGGGCAUAAUGGGGUGAUCGAAUUGCUCCGCCCGGGCCUGUUUCCCCGCCCAUCCGAGGGGCCGCUGGGCCAUGCCCUGCGUGCACCUGUGAGGGGCGCCUGGGUCCCAGUGCGGCGACUCUGCACCGGCCUAAGCGCCUCAGCCGGUGUCUCCGGGGACAGGAGGGCCCGGGGCUUCCUCCGGGAGUCCAGAGCCCGCAGGAAAAAAAAAAA
rnacentral:lncRNA from 1 species